rnacentral:misc_RNA from 1 species
AAGGAUAUAUUCGGAACAUCUCGYAGAGAUGACGGAAUAACGUGACAUAUUGUAUUCAGUUUUGAAUGUUUAUUUCAAACAUUCAAAAUAAAUGAUGAUUGCAUUAAACAUUAUAAUUUGAUAUAAUAUUUAAUUGUGAUUGUYAGAUUGUACAUUGAAAACUAGAUAAGUAAGUAAAAUAGAUUUUACCAAGCAAAACCGAGUGAAUAGAGUUUUAAAUAAGCUUGAAUUCAUAAAAAAUAAUCGCUAGUGUUCGAAAGAACACUCACAGAUUAAUAACUAUAUUA